rnacentral:lncRNA from 1 species
AAGCAGCAUCAAUGCAGACUAAUUGGAUUUUGAUUAUUUUAUCCGUCUUGGUGACCAUGGGACUGCUGAUGGUGGCCCAGAGCCAGUAUCAACUGAAGAGCAUUCUGGACAGCAAGAUUAAAAAAAUGGAUGUAGCGUUUGAGCAAUUUACUGUUGACUAUCUAAGUAAGGACGUCUUCAAAACCUCUGUGGAAAAACUGCUGGUUCAGAGCCAGGAAGAAGUGAAUAAUCUGGAAGCUGCACUCAAUAAACUCAGUUCAGAAACGGAGCAGAAGAAAAUGGAAAACGAUGCAUGCCAAGAACAAAUGAAAACCACACAAGUAGAGCUGGAAAGUAUCCAAAAGACACAAAGUGAAACUAAAGCUUCCUUGGAUGCAGAGGUUGAGGCCUGGACUAAGGAGAUUAACACUCUGAAAGAAAUACAGACACAAUACAGUCCAGUAUGUGCCUAUGUGAAGACGAGCAAGUUAGCUGACAGCAGCUCAGCAGGUGGUUUAAAUCUCCAAAUCUUUGUAGCUGCUAGAAAAGCCUGGAUGCAUAGAGGCGUGGGACUAAUGUAAAGAAACUCCAGAGGAAAGCAGUGAAGUGUGUGACACGGAUGGUAAAUGGCUGUUUAAUAAGUCACUUAUUUAGCAAGGAAGAAUUUGUUUGGAAAAUAUUAUUUUAGUUUCUAAUAAACUGAGGGCAUCAGGUUUGGAUGUACAAUGUGGAGGAAAUGUUUAAUGUACCCCCCAAAAAAUGUUAUUUCAAAUAAAAUGAUUAUGCACGGUUAAAGUUAGUUAAAAUAGCAAAUUUAAUAAUCUUUCGUGUAAGUUAAAAUUAAGAAUCGGACAUAUAACUACAAAAACCUAAUCUUAAAGUACGCUUUCUUUCUUGAAUCCAGAAAUAAGCACUUUACGCCACAAUAAAGUCGGUGUUGC